rfam:Erinaceus europaeus unplaced genomic scaffold scaffold00164, whole genome shotgun sequence
AUGACUUCUCAGCUGUGAGGUAAGAUCAUAGGUACUAUUUGUUCUUAUCUGUUUUAUAUCUGACAUAUCCUCUGAGGGCAAUAUAUUAACUGGGUUUUUGGAGUGGGAAGAUAGAGUAGGAGCAUGUUCAGCUUGCUCUGGGGAUGUACCUGAUAUUGCAGUAAUGCCAGGAAAGGUGCACCCCCU